GAUGAACGCUGGCGGCGUGCCUAAUACAUGCAAGUCGAGCGAACAGACGAGGAGCUUGCUCCUCUGACGUUAGCGGCGGACGGGUGAGUAACACGUGGAUAACCUACCUAUAAGACUGGGAUAACUUCGGGAAACCGGAGCUAAUACCGGAUAAUAUAUUGAACCGCAUGGUUCAAUAGUGAAAGACGGUUUUGCUGUCACUUAUAGAUGGAUCCGCGCCGCAUUAGCUAGUUGGUAAGGUAACGGCUUACCAAGGCAACGAUGCGUAGCCGACCUGAGAGGGGGAUCGGCCACACUGGAACUGAGACACGGUCAAGACUCCUACGGGAGGCAGCAGUAGGGAAUCUUCGGCAAGGGGCGAAAGCCUGACGGAGCAACGCCGCGGGAGUGAUGAAGGUCUUCGGAUCGUAAAACUCUGUUAUUAGGGAAGAACAAAUGUGUAAGUAAAUAUGCACGUCGUGACGGUACCUAAUCAGAAAGCCACGGCUAACUACGUG
rnacentral:rRNA from 1 species